CCUACGGGUGGCAGCAGUGAGGAAUAUUGGUCAAUGGCCGCAAGUCUGAACCAGCCAUGCCGCGUGCGGGAAGACGGCUCUAUGAGUUGUAAACUGCUUUUGUACGAGGGUAAACGCAGCUACGCGUAUCUGUCUGAAAGUAUCGUACGAAUAAGGAUCGGCUAACUCCGUGUCAGCAGCCGCGGUAAUACGGAGGCUUCCAGCGUUAUCCGGAUUUAUUGGGUUUAAAGGGUGCGUAGGCGGGCUGUUAAGUCAGCGGUCAAAUGUCGGGGCUCAACCCCGGCCUGCCGUUGCAACUGGCGGCCUCGAGUGGGCGAGAAGUAUGCGGAAUGCGUGGUGUAGCGGUGAAAUGCAUAGAUAUCACGCAGAACUCCGAUUGCGAAGGCAGCAUACCGGCGCCCGACUGACGCUGAGGCACGAAAGCGUGGGUAUCGAACAGGAUUAGAUACCCUUGUAGUC
rnacentral:rRNA from 1 species